rnacentral:lncRNA from 1 species
UGCACUAGUGGAUCCCACUUCUUCAAAAGGAUGCUGGAGGAGAAACAUCACCACCAGCAGCAGCAUCUUCUUAUUUGUUUCUUCUAUUUUUAUAUGUACAAAUUCUUUUUUUUGUAGUAAAAGUUUUGAAUUGAAACAUUUUUGAAUGUCUGUGUUUCCUGUCUGAAUAAAAGAUGAUUGUUACUCAGAGUUGUUUCACUUGAGUUUGACGCCACGAUAUAUUUUGAUGUGAGCCGUUUCUUCAGAGCAAGAUGAAAGACUGAAAAAGGUAAAGGGAACUUCUUUAAUUUGUAAUAAAUAGCCUUUUACUUUAUUGAAAACUUACAGUAUCAAGACUUUUAAAUCGACAUAUGUGCCUAUGUACCAGAUUUGAUUAUCUGUAAUUAUUAUAAAAUUCAAAUGGUUGAGUUAUCUUUAAUAAGGUCACUGAAUAUUUUUGAAAAGAUUUGUUUUAUGUGUGUUUAGAGUUAAAAGUUCCUCAGUGAGGCGGGAGUGUAGCUGGAAUUCAAAGCGUAUGUUUUUUUUCUCCAGAAUAUUUCCUCUCUUUUGACUUUAAAGUUCCUUAAAUGACUAAGUUCAAGUCUUCAAAUGUCCAUGAAAACCUUUGAUCGCCAAACUGUUUUACUGAUUGUUUUUUCAGAUGCGUCUUAAUGUGAUUGGAGUCCAGCUGUUCAGUUAUCUGGAGAUGAUUUGGGGAGACGCACACCUGUGAGCUCCUAAAGCAGACAGUUCAAGUCAGAGUACAAACCGUCCAUCUCAAGGGACUGUCUGCAGACAAGCUGUACGGUCAGAGGAGGAAACUGACCGGAGAAUAAAGCCUGCAAGAUGAGAUCAUUUGAGUUGAAAGCCUUUGACACUUCCUAGAUUCUCUGGAUUAUUUUCUGACUUUUGUAACACCUUGGAAAGACUUUGAGGAGUUGCUCCUCCAUCACUUGUCACCGGCAAUCCUGGAGGUGGUGGAGAUGGCAAAGCGGACGUGGGUAGAUGGUGAAGUUCUGCCCUUUUCAAAAGCUACAGGGAAGGAGAAAUGAACAGGAACUCUUGAAUCCACCUAUUAGGAGUUGGAGGAGUAGAGUGACGGCUGCUGUCGGUGCUGCAUCCGCUCCAGCAGAAUAUGAUCAACUCUGCAGCACAUGGCUGAAGGCUUGAGAGGUGAAGUUGGAGCAAGGAGCAGAUGCAAAUAUAAGGAGAAUCUUCAGAGAAUCUACGGUUUGGUGGUAUGUAGCAAAGAAUGAAGAAAUUUUUCAUUUCUAAAAUUAAAAAUUGCUGUUUUUUUUUCACUAGAGAAAUACUGUACAUUCAAAGAAAUUACUACAAAAUGUAAUUUGAAGUAAACGUUCUAGCAAUUUCAUUCACUGAGUGGAUCGUAGUGGUCACAAAAACAAAGAAAUUCUUCAAAUUACACUUCAUAAAAAGUAAAGACAUCUA